rnacentral:rRNA from 1 species
AGUUCGGAUCGCAGUCUGCAACUCGACUGCGUGAAGGUGGAGUCGCUAGUAAUCGCGGAUCAGCAACGCCGCGGUGAAUGCGUUCCCGGGCCUUGUACACACCGCCCGUCAAGUCAUGAAAGUGGGCAGCACCCGAAGACGGUGGCCUAACCCUUGUGGGGGAGCCGUCUAAGGUGAGGCUCGUGAUUGGGACUAAGUCGUAACAAGGUAGC